rnacentral:tRNA from 1 species
UAAAUAUGAGUGUAAUCACGAAAACUUUUGAAGUUUUAAAAAUAAUUUAUUUAUUAUAUUUAA